rnacentral:misc_RNA from 1 species
AACAAGGCGUACCUGCGGACCUGCGGAAGGAUCAUUACUGAGUUUAAUGGGGAGGGUUUGUAACAGAGUCCUCCCUUUUUUUUCUCUUCACCCUUUGUUAUUAUUUGUACAAGUUGCUUUGGCGGUUGGGUUACCCUUCUGCCAGACGGCUUUUUCAAACACUGUUAUCUAACAAUCAAGAUAUGUUUUGUCUAAUUUUUACGACUUGAAUAAGUAUGUAAAACUUUUAACAAUGGAUCU